ensembl:snoRNA
CCGAUACAGUGAUGAUAACAUAGUUCAGCAGACUUACACUGAUGAACAAUCAAAGUCUUUCGCUCCUAUCUGAUGUAUCUG